rnacentral:rRNA from 1 species
UACGUAGGGGGCAAGCGUUGUCCGGAAUCAUUGGGCGUAAAGCGCGUGUAGGCGGUUCGGUAAGUCUGCUGUGAAAGUCCAGGCUCAACCCUGGGAUGCCGGUGGAUACUGUCGAACUAGAGUACGGAAGAGGCGAGUGGAAUUCCCGGUGUAGCGGUGAAAUGCGCAGAUAUCAGGAGGAACACCAAUUGCGAAGGCAGCUCGCUGGGACGUAACUGACGCUGAGACGCGAAAGCGUGGGGAGCAAACAGG